rnacentral:rRNA from 1 species
GACGAACGCUGGCGGCGUGCUUAACACAUGCAAGUCGAACGGAAAGGCCCUGCUUUUGUGGGGUGCUCGAGUGGCGAACGGGUGAGUAACACGUGAAUAACCUGCCCUUGACUUUGGGAUAACUUCAGGAAACUGGGGCUAAUACCGGAUAGGAGCUCCUGCUGCAUGGUGGGGGUUGGAAAGUUUCGGCGGUUGGGGAUGGACUCGCGGCUUAUCAGCUUGUUGGUGGGGUAGUGGCUUACCAAGGCUUUGACGGGUAGCCGGCCUGAGAGGGUGACCGGCCACAUUGGGACUGAGAUACGGCCCAGACUCCUACGGAGGCAGCAGUGGGGAAUAUUGCACAAUGGGCGGAAGCCUGAUGCAGCAACGCCGCGUGCGGGAUGACGGCCUUCGGGUUGUAAACCGCUUUCGCCUGUGACGAAGCGUGAGUGACGGUAAUGGGUAAAGAAGCACCGGCUAACUACGUG